CACACACACACACACACACACACACACACACGUUUACCCUGUUUGUCUGUCACUGAUUCGGCACUCUCACAGAUCCUUGAACCUGGAUCUGGACCUCAAACCUUUAAAGUUCUGUCCCUGACUGAGGCGCAGCCGUCUCACAUCACACAGCUACAGGCUUUGCCAUGGAGUCGUCAGCUCAAGCUGAGGGUGAUGUGUCAUCUGUGAUAAUUGUGGGACAUCUGUGCAACUCUGUCAGACAAGUCCUACAAAAGCUCUGCAGGGCAUCUCCACCUUACAAAAAUGUCCCAAAGCUUCAGAAAUUCCCUCCCUCCUUACAAAACUGUCCUCACUUCCUCUUUCAUUUAAAACUUCCUGAUAAAGUUCCCUGUUCUUCCACAGAAGCUUUGUGUUUGUGUUUGUGUGGACCUUUGAAAAGUCUCAGACCUGAAUGUGUCUUUACGAGGACCGGACAGAUCGUCCUCACAGAGCAGAAGCGUCUCAGAAGCGAAGACAUGUCCAAACAAAGACUCAGCUGUCAUUUGGACGCCACUGCAUCCUCUCCUGGUUUCGCUGUGACUCAGCGUGACUUUCUAAAUGCUGUAACUUCACUUACAGUCAGAUGAUAAAGCUCAGAAGAAAUCACCUCCUGUCACCACGAGGAUGGGGCCACAGUUUGAUUACAGGAAUAUACAAACAGCACAUGGUGAGAGAAGCUCGGCUUCAGUGUUUCACACCGAUGUCACGAUGUUGGACACGAGGCAGUGAAAUCCAACAUAAACAUGUCGGCUUUGAGGGAAGAUUUAAUAAACGGAAGCAGCAAAAUGUGACGUGUAAACUGAUCUACUCUGGUUCCUUUCCUGUGUCUCAAACAGCAAGUCAUGUGACCCACCGCCAUGCUGUAGUUUAUUCCCUCACUGAGACAAUUGAGAGCUGUUACACUCCAGCAAGAUCACUCAAACGCUGCUCAGUGGGAGUGGUGGCGCAAACGAAGACCCCAUGAAGGUUUGGCCUGGUUGGAGGAGGACGGGCUCUCUCUGAGAACACUUCCUGUCAGUGGACUUGGACGGCCACAGCCACAAAUUACAGUUUCAGGUACGAUGGAGCUGUCGGGACUUUAGAGUCGGGACAUCGGGAGCCGGAGAGACAGCGAGAGAAAGUCUGCUGACCUGCCGCAGUCGCUGCAGAGACCCGUGAGGAAGAUGGAGAGGAUGAGGAGGAGGAUGAAGAAGCUAACCACUCCUGAUGGCAGGAGCCACAGCUCGAUGGCGUCUGGUCCGGUUGCCAUGAUCCCUGAGAGGAGAGAAAACGCAGAUGAGUGAGGACGACCUGGAGACUUUAUGACCUCCAAGAAACUCACUUUGCAUUUUAGUGUUUUGUAAAGAACUUUAAUUAGCAUCAGAUGUAAAUUAUCCUCAGUUUCUCUGAUCAUUAACAGGUCUAACAAUCAGCAGAGGUCAAAGGUCAGAAACUUUAUUCUGACCUAUUCUGAAACAUAAAUUCCACCUGAUCUGUUUUCAUAUCAAAGGAAUGCUUUAAAAGCGCUCUUCAAACAUAACUGAGCAAAUAUGAGCUCAAAUUUACUGAUAUCAUUGUGUGCUGGAGCCCUGAGUCAUGAACGCACAAAGCAACACACUCGUGGAUCAAACGUGACCCUGUGUGUGCUUUAAGGCCGGUCCGUCGUCGGGUGUGUACUUGUUCUUUCAGCUCAGCGGCGAUUGAAUCAUCCUGACCAACUCCUGUUACACAAACAGUGAAGCAGAUGCCGGAGGUGGGUCGCGGUGCGAGAACGCCAUGUUCAGAUUAGUAUAAACUGCAUUUAGCGCAGUUAUUUCACUGUAAUAAAGGAAACGAGGCGCAAACAGCCAAGCUAACACGUAUCCACCUCACUGAUUAUCACGCCACAUCUCUUCUGUUAAAUGUUGCAGUGACAAAACAUCAGUUAAAUGUUUCAACAGCUGGGGCUGUUUUUUAUUCUGCGCAGGGGGAACUUCCUGUUGUCUCCAAUGCCUGUCUCCAGAGCUGCGACUCAAAUACGCAGACACAUCGUAGUCCAUCGAACUUGAGACUGAACUUAAAGUGAAGUAAGGCCACAGAGCAGGCGAACCAUGAAGAGAUUAGAAUAAAUGAAUGAAAACAGGAAACAUCAUCACCAUGUGCGAUGAUGAUCAGAGCUGCGGUGAAAGGUUUGGGCGGGGCUGCUCUUUUUAAGAUUUCUUCUCUUUUCUCAGUUGUUUGGAGACGGAGUUCCACGUAUGAAGGAGACGACUGCCUUUCUGUUUAUUUUCUUUUUGUUUUUGCAAAGAAAGCGAGCCUAUAGCGUCCACAAAAGCGAGUCCCAGCAGGUCACCUGAUCUCAAGGUCAGCCCACAUCACCUGAUGGCUCAGGCAACACCCUUGUCCACAUCCUGAUGGGCAGCUGCGACUGAUAAGCUCCAUAAAGCCGAGAUCAAACUGAAACUGGAGCACCAAGAGCAGCUCCACCCGAACUGUGCAACUGACACUUUCUGCUUGACUGGCAGAGUGAGGCCCUUUGAGGACUGUGAGAGGCAGAUAACAGCAGCCUUGCUGUUAAAGGACACAUAAAGUGAAUUCACAUAAUUUUUUCUCUAUCGCAGUCUGCAUUCAGCUUCCUGUCUGGAUGUUGUCAUACGUGCAUUGUGGUGUUAAAGUCCAUAGAAACCCUGUAGUUACUGUAAAAUGUCAGCUAAAAUUUCAUUUUGAUAGAUAAAGGGAGAAUCAGCUUUAGUAAAAUAUGGGGUGUUGGU